rnacentral:rRNA from 1 species
GUCUCUUUGGUGUAUUUAUAUAUAAAGAGUUUAACCUGCCCGGUGAUUAUUAUUUAACGGCCGCAGUACUUUGACUGUGCGAAGGUAGCAUAAUUAUUUGCCUUAUAAUUGAAGGCUUGUAUGAAUGGUUUGACGAGAAUGAGUCUGUCUUAAUUUAAUUUUUUUGAAUUUAACUUCUAAGUGAAGAGGCUUUUAUUUAAUUGAUAGACAAGAAGACCCUGUCGAGCUUGAUUUUUUAUAUAUAAAUGCAUAUUUUUAUAUUAUUUAUAGAUUUUAGUUGGGGUGACUGAGGAAGUAUAUGAGUUUCCUUAUAAUUAUUUAAAUUUAUUGAUUUUGAUCCUUUUUAAUGAUUAGUAGAAUUAGUUACCGCAGGGAUAACAGCAUAAUCUUUUUUGAGAGUUCAUAUCGAAAAAUUGGUUUGUGACCUCGAUGUUGGAUUAAAAUUUCCUAAAGGUGCAGAAGUUUUUAAGGGUUAGUCUGUUCGACUAUUAAAAUUUU